rnacentral:rRNA from 1 species
GAGUUUGAUCAUGGCUCAGAACGAACGCUGGCGGCAUGCCUAACACAUGCAAGUCGAACGAGACCUUCGGGUCUAGUGGCGCACGGGUGCGUAACGCGUGGGAAUCUGCCCUUGGGUUCGGGAUAACAGUUGGAAACGACUGCUAAUACCGGAUGAUGUCUUCGGACCAAAGAUUUAUCGCCCAAGGAUGAGCCCGCGUAGGAUUAGCUUGUUGGUGAGGUAAAAGCUCACCAAGGCGACGAUCCUUAGCUGGUCUGAGAGGAUGAUCAGCCACACUGGGACUGAGACACGGCCCAGACUCCUACGGGAGGCAGCAGUGGGGAAUAUUGGACAAUGGGCGAAAGCCUGAUCCAGCAAUGCCGCGUGAGUGAUGAAGGCCUUAGGGUUGUAAAG